AAAUACUCCUGACUGACCGAUAGUGAACCAGUACCGUGAGGGAAAGGCGAAAAGAACCCCGGCGAGGGGAGUGAAAAGAACCUGAAACCGUGUACGUACAAGCAGUGGGAGCCCCACCACUAAGCCAGUGGUGAACUCCACAUACGCAUCCUUUGCUGAGGAUAAGGUUAACGGAGCGAAAGCGACGUUCAACCUCAAAAGAAGCAGAGGGGGCUUAGUGGUGGGGUGACUGCGUACCUUUUGUAUAAUGGGUCAGCGACUUAUAUUCUGUAGCAAGGUUAACCGUAUAGGGGAGCCGGAGG
rnacentral:rRNA from 1 species